rnacentral:tRNA from 1 species
GCUGUUUUGGCUCGGUGGAUAGAGUGUUGGCCUGCAGAAUCAAGGGUCCCAGGUUUGAUUCCGGGCAAGGGCA